rnacentral:tmRNA from 1 species
GGGGAUGUAAAGGCUUCGACGGAGGCCGUGAACCAUAGUAAGCGAGCAGCGCCGCGGAACGCUAUAUUUUCGCAAAAAAGAAAUAACUAACAAAGAUUCUAACGCUAACUAUAAUUACAAUUAUGGGAUGGCGUACGCGGCCUAAUUAGGCUGCCGUCCUUACUGAGAGCACCGCGGCUUGGAUAAGGGCGUCGAUUAGCGGUGAACGUGAGCCAAGGAAUGCCUUUACUUUGGCCAUGAUUUAAAGGCUACCAAAGCAAGGAGCCUGCCAGUGGGCGUCUUGCUGAGGAAAUUUUAAAACAUUGGCUACGCCCGUAGAAAGCUUUGGCAAAUUGCCUUCGGACACGGGUUCGACUCCCGUCAUCUCCACCA